CUGACACUGGAGAAGAUGACAAAGUUCACUGACAACGAAUGAACACAGACAUCAUACAUUGAAGGAAAAAAUAAACUAUUAUACGUAUACCAUACGUCCAGAAUCGAAAAACACAACACAAACACGAGCACAUACAUCAUACGUAUGAGAUAUCGAAGAUAAAAAAAAAAAAAAACAUACUUGAAAUGGUGUCACUGGAAAAAGAUGAAGUUCCC
rnacentral:lncRNA from 1 species